UGAGGAAUAUUGGACAAUGGGUGAGAGCCUGAUCCAGCCAUCCCGCGUGCAGGAAGACGGCCCUAUGGGUUGUAAACUGCUUUUCUACGAGAAUAAACCACCUUACGUGUAGGGUGUUGAAGGUACCGUAGGAAUAAGCACCGGCUAACUCCGUGCCAGCAGCCGCGGUAAUACGGAGGGUGCAAGCGUUAUCCGGAUUUAUUGGGUUUAAAGGGUCCGCAGGCGGACUUGUAAGUCAGAGGUGAAAGCCGGCAGCUUAACUGUCGAACUGCCUUUGAAACUGCAAGUCUUGAGUGAGGUUGAAGUAGCUAGAAUGAGUAGUGUAGCGGUGAAAUGCUUAGAUAUUACUCAGAAUACCGAUUGCGAAGGCAGGUUACUAAGUCUUAACUGACGCUGAGGGACGAAAGCGUGGGGAGCGAACAGG
rnacentral:rRNA from 1 species